rnacentral:misc_RNA from 1 species
AUAUUCUGUUUUGUGAAACAUUAAGGACUACUAGCUGCAUUUUUCCAAUCUCUGAAGGGAACGUGCCACCGAAUUCAUUUACACCCAAAUGAAGCAUACUGAAAUUCUGCAUGCUGCCAAUUUCAGGAGGGAUCCCACCAGAAAAUUUGUUCAUACUAAGUUGAAGAUAGCCUGAUAUCUGAUUUGAACGAACAUUACUACCCGGUUCACACACUGGAAAUAAACCAUACCCUUUGAGCAACUUAUCCCAUAGGCUUCUACAAUUCUUCCUGGUAAGGAGAGGAUAUACAAAGCUAAAUGGAGGAUAAUCAGCUGGUAUCCAUCUCUUCAUAGCAAA